rnacentral:miRNA from 1 species
AAGGAAGGAGAGUCAGCAAGCAC